rnacentral:rRNA from 1 species
AACGAACGCUGGCGGCAGGCUUAACACAUGCAAGUCGAACGCCCCGCAAGGGGAGUGGCAGACGGGUGAGUAACGCGUGGGAACGUACCCUUUACUACGGAAUAACUCAGGGAAACUUGUGCUAAUACCGUAUGUGCCCUUCGGGGGAAAGAUUUAUCGGUAAAGGAUCGGCCCGCGUUGGAUUAGCUAGUUGGUGGGGUAAAGGCCUACCAAGGCGACGAUCCAUAGCUGGUCUGAGAGGAUGAUCAGCCACAUUGGGACUGAGGCACGGCCCAAACUCCUACGGGAGGCAGCAGUGGGGAAUAUUGGACAAUGGGCGCAAGCCUGCUCCAGCCAUGCCGCGUGAGUGAUGAAGGCCCUAGGGUUGUAAAGCUCUUUCACCGGUGAAGAUAAUGACGGUACCCAAAGAAUAAGCACCGGCUAACUUCGUGCCAGCAGCCGCCGUAAAAC